rnacentral:rRNA from 1 species
UACGGAGGGGGCUAGCGUUGUUCGGAAUUACUGGGCGUAAAGCGCGCGUAGGCGGCUUUGUAAGUUAGAGGUGAAAGCCCGGAGCUCAACUCCGGAAUUGCCUUUAAGACUGCAUCGCUAGAACGUCGGAGAGGUGAGUGGAAUUCCGAGUGUAGAGGUGAAAUUCGUAGAUAUUCGGAAGAACACCAGUGGCGAAGGCGGCUCACUGGCUCAUACUGGACGCUGAGGUGCGAAAGCGUGGGGAGCAAACAGG